UACUAGAGUAGCACUCGCAUAUCAAUAAGCGGAGGAAAAGAAACUAACAAGGAUUCCCCUAGUAACGGCGAGUGAAGCGGGAAGAGCUCAAAUUUGAAAUCUUAAAGGGUUUCCCUUUACGAAUUGUAGUUUAAAGAAGUGUUUUCUGUUGAGGUUUUGGUAAAAGUUCUUUGGAAUAGGACAUCAUAGAGGGUGAGAAUCCCGUAUUUGACCUUUACUUUCAACUUUGUGAUACACUUUCAAAGAGUCGGAUUGUUUGGGAAUGCAGUCCAAAAUGGGUGGUAAAUUUCAUCUAAAGCUAAAUAUUGGCGAGAGACCGAUAGCGAACAAGUACCGUGAGGGAAAGAUGAAAAGAACUUUGAAAAGAGAGUUAAACAGUACGUGAAAUUGUCAAAAGGGAAGCGGUUGACACCAGUGUUGUUUUUCCGAAAAUCAAUUAAAGAACUGUUUAUGCUAAGUUGUUUAGACUUUAUCAGCUAAUCUGUUUAGUUUUGAGCUUUUCUUUAAUGCACUUUUCAGUUAACAAGUCAACAUCAAUUUCUUUUGCUGUAAAAAAGCUUGAGGAAGGUGGCUUGAGAUUCGUCUUAAGUGUUUAUAGCCUCUUGCCUAUGCAGUCGGAGAGAUUGAGGUCUGCAGCGUAGAUCCUUCGGGGCUAAAUGCAUUUGUGCUAAGUUAUAGCAUUUUAUAGACAACUUGUUGACUAUGAUUUGUCUUGUAGCUUACUCGCUUAUGUUAUUUUACCUACGCUUAGGAUGUUGAGCGCAUGUCUCUCUCU
rnacentral:rRNA from 1 species